ACAGAAGUGUCCCAGCAAACACACAUGAUUCAAAGAUCAUCCCGUUUUCAUCUCACGGCCUCAUCGGGAUGAGUUGAUCCAUGCGUCGUCCCCCAGAUCUCCGGGAGCGAGCAAUAGGAAAUCGUCCCAUAUUCAUCCCUGUGAGAGCUGCCUGCGAGAAUGCAGACGCCGCGAACCCUUCGCGCCUCCAGUUGCGCUUGCACGGUACGCAACUGCGGCUGCAUUUCGUAACGUUACUACGUGAUCCUUAAUAUGGUCGUUACCGAACACGAUGUAAAAUUUAUCAAUUUCAUUCUUCAUAUUUACGCAUGGCACAUCCAGUAUUUUGUGGUUUUAAUAAGAUACGCGACUUGCGCGGCUUCUAGGCGGCCAGUGGGAGCGAUAUUCAAACGUUCAAACCGUUAGCAAGCUCGUCCGGGUUGCAGGAUGGAGGUGUUGUGGUGUGAUGUUACAAUUGUGAGCGAGUUGUGCGUUGUCUUGUGAGUUGUGUGAGCGAGUUGAAUUGUGUUCAUUUGUUUGACUGCUUGUGAGUGUAGCUGGGAGAAAAGACACCACUCUGGAACCAGACUGCACGCUAAGGUGCCAAAAAAAUGUGGAUGCCAUCACGCACAUCUCGACGAAAUGUCAGUGUCCCCGUGAGUAAAAGCCUGCAAGCAAUACGUUACGUAAGGUACAGCGCCGAAACUAACAAUGUGACGGCAUCGAGGGUAGCCGGUACCCUCAGUCAGGCACGUUAAUACGAGUAACAGCGGUCCAAUGCUCUUGGAACACGGCGCGUUUCUAAUCCGCAAUUCUCAAACAAGUGGUUCGCAUGUCACGGACAUUUAUGAAGACACUUCCGAUGAAGGUAUAGAAGGAGAAGUACAUGUGUUACACCAGCUAGGGUCACAUAUGGCUCAUUUGAGCAACGCUUGUACGGAACAGGCUUUACCGAUGGCAAAGUGUCGAUGACUAAAGUGCAUGGACGCUUGUACAGAUGUUCAGUCAGAGGUGCAAUUCUGAAGGACACUCUCCACUAACAUACAUGGACUUGAGCGACGUUCAAGGUAAAUUAAUCUAUAUUACCACAAUUUAGGAAGCGCAGAGUCAGUAUAUUUUUGUUUGUAGAAAAUUCUGUCACGCCAACUUCUGCAGCAUGACUGUUCUCCCGAACUGAAAGACCUCCCUUGAGAAAUGCUGUCACGCUGUCUCUGCUGCAGCGUCAAAAAUCGCAGACCAAUCCAAGAUGUGCCGCCUCCACCUACUUGGCAACCUUAUUCUCACCUGAAUGAAGCUGGGCAUCCGGACCCUGAAUUUCCCAUCGGGAGUCCCACACAGUCCGCCAAGUAUACAACGAUGCAAUGGCAGACGAGGGAAAUGAAUGAGCGUCUACUUCAGCCAGUGGGGCAGUCAGCCCAGCUGUCUCAGUCCCAGCGAAUAAGGCAACCAGACGCACAAACUUCACAGUAUUGUAUGCCAAUAAAGGUUCUCCCAAACGAUAUUGUGAUGCGUUGACUGUUGUAUGGUGAACUAACUGCAAAGCAAACUGUUUCAGCUGUGCGUAUCCCAAGCAGAAAUCAACCAGAUGAGUGGCCCCUCCCCCGUACUGCUGCAGUGUAUAUCCUGCACAUGAUGCCAACAUCUUGCAGCGGAGCAGAUGCUUUGCACAUCGGUCACAGGUGAUCAGAAUAUUUUAUUUAACAUAGUUAUCUAAGUACACAAGUCACAGGUAUGUAGCUUUCAACG